rnacentral:misc_RNA from 1 species
GUAGGUGAACCUGCGGAAGGAUCAUUAUUGAAAUAAACCUGAUGAGUUGCUGCUGGCUCUUUAGAGAGCAUGUGCACACUUGUCGUCUUUAUAUCUCCACCUGUGCACCUAUUGUAGACCUGGAUGACUCUCUGAAUGCUAUCAUUCAGGUAUGAGGAUUGACUUUUCUGCCUCUCCUUACAUUUCCAGGCCCUAUGUUCUUUCAUAUAACCUCAAUGUAUGUUAUGGAAUGUAAUACUAUGGGCCUUCU